rnacentral:rRNA from 1 species
AUUGAACGCUGGCGGCAUGCCUUACACAUGCAAGUCGAACGGCAGCACGGGUGCUUGCACCUGGUGGCGAGUGGCGAACGGGUGAGUAAUACAUCGGAACAUGUCCUGUAGUGGGGGAUAGCCCGGCGAAAGCCGGAUUAAUACCGCAUACGAUCUACGGAUGAAAGCGGGGGACCUUCGGGCCUCGCGCUAUAGGGUUGGCCGAUGGCUGAUUAGCUAGUUGGUGGGGUAAAGGCCUACCAAGGCGACGAUAAGUAGCUGGUCUGAGAGGACGAGCAGCCACACUGGGAAGGAGACACGGCCCAGACUCCCACGGGAGGCAGCAGUGGGGAAUUUUGGACAAUGGGCGAAAGCCUGAUCCAGCAAUGCCGCGUGUGUGAAGAAGGCCUUCGGGUUGUAAAGCACUUUUGUCCGGAAAGAAAUCCUUGAUUCUAAUACAGUCGGGGGAUGACGGUACCGGAAGAAUAAGCACCGGCUAACUACGUGCCAGCCGCCGCAGUAAUAC